rnacentral:rRNA from 1 species
AUUGAACGCUGGCGGCAGGCCUAACACAUGCAAGUCGAGCGGAUGAAGGGAGCUUGCUCCUGGAUUCAGCGGCGGACGGGUGAGUAAUGCCUAGGAAUCUGCCUGGUAGUGGGGGAUAACGUCCGGAAACGGGCGCUAAUACCGCAUACGUCCUGAGGGAGAAAGUGGGGGAUCUUCGGACCUCGCGCUAUCAGAUGAGCCUAGGUCGGAUUAGCUAGUUGGUGGGGUAAAGGCCUACCAAGGCGACGAUCCGUAACUGGUCUGAGAGGAUGAUCAGUCACACUGGAACUGAGACACGGUCCAGACUCCUACGGGAGGCAGCAGUGGGGAAUAUUGGACAAUGGGCGAAAGCCUGAUCCAGCCAUGCCGCGUGUGUGAAGAAGGUCUUCGGAUUGUAAAGCACUUUAAGUUGGGAGGAAGGGCAGUAAGUUAAUACCUGGCUGUUUGGACGUUACCAACAGAAUAAGCACCGGCGAACUUCGU